AGUGAACGCUGGCGGUAGGCCUAACGCAUGCAAGUCGAACGGCAGCACAGUAAGAGCUUGCUCUUACGGGUGGCGAGUGGCGGACGGGUGAGGAAUACAUCGGAAUCUACUUUUUCGUGGGGGAUAAUGUAGGGAAACUUACGCUAAUACCGCAUACGACCUACGGGUGAAAGCAGGGGAUCUUCGGACCUUGCGCGAUUGAAUGAGCCGAUGUCGGAUUAGCUAGUUGGCGGGGUAAAGGCCCACCAAGGCGACGAUCCGUAGCUGGUCUGAGAGGAUGAUCAGCCACACUGGAACUGAGACACGGUCCAGACUCCUACGGGAGGCGGCAGUGGGGAAUAUUGGACAAUGGGCGCAAGCCUGAUCCAGCCAUACCGCGUGGGUGAAGAAGGCCUUCGGGUUGUAAAGCCCUUUUGUUGGGAAAGAAAAGCAGCAGGUUAAUACCCCGCUGUUCUGACGGUACCCAAAGAAUAAGCACCGGCUAACUUCGUG
rnacentral:rRNA from 1 species